CCUACGGGUGGCUGCAGUCGAGAAUCAUUCACAAUGGGGGAAACCCUGAUGGUGCGACGCCGCGUGGGGGAAUGAAGGUCUUCGGAUUGUAAACCCCUGUCAUGUGGGAGCAAAUUAAAAAGAUAGUACCACAAGAGGAAGAGACGGCUAACUCUGUGCCAGCAGCCGCGGUAAUACAGAGGUCUCAAGCUUUGUUCGGAAUCACUGGGCGUAAGGCGUGCGUAGGCUGUUUCGUAAGUCGUGUGUGAAAGGCGCGGGCUCAACCCGCGGACGGCACAUGAUACUGCGAGACUAGAGUAAUGGAGGGGGAACCGGAAUUCUCGGUGUAGCAGUGAAAUGCGUAGAUAUCGAGAGGAACACUCGUGGCGAAGGCGGGUUCCUGGACAUUAACUGACGCUGAGGCACGAAGGCCAGGGGAGCGAAAGGGAUUAGAUACCCCAGUAGUC
rnacentral:rRNA from 1 species